ACCUAAGAAAUCGCUGAUUGGACUACAGCUCGUUUUACUUCUGAACCGGAAGUUUUUCUGGAGACCCUUUUCACAGUGAUGUCAGACAAUGGGCACCGUAACUCGAAGAGGUGUAUCUUUACUUGUGGUGUGAUUUUGCCUCGGGAAACCUGACUGAAAAAUUCACGGAUACUCAUUAUCUUAAGGAUAUACUAAACGUAGCCUACCUAACAACCUACCAUAUCUGGGAUGGUCUUGUUCCUCUGUCCAUGGUAGGAUCAGCCAAUCAGCUGUGGGACAUCUGCUGCCUAGUCAAAGUAUCAUGGGCCUCUUGAUUUAAAAGGACCAACCAGUACAGAGCCUCCCUGCUCCUGCAAGUCACACUUCUUGGAUGAACACUCAUGACUGCAAGGAGCUGUGUUAGAAAUGAAAUCUUUGUGUAUCUAUCCUUUAAUUAAUAUCUAUAUGUAUCUAUUAAUAAAUUGAUGUUGUGUAGAGUUCUGUAAAAACUAUUGUAAAUAGCUUCUCUUGAGUAAUCUACAUAUGUGCAACUUUUACAUUUAAAUUGCUUCUUUUUGUAAAUUUUGCACAUCUGGCAACAAAGUAUGUGGAGGAGAGGAAAUGAGAAAGGAGAGGA